AGCUCGUGUUGUGAAAUGUUGGGUUAAGUCCCGCAACGAGCGCAACCCUUAUCCUUUGUUGCCAGCGGUCCGGCCGGGAACUCAAAGGAGACUGCCAGUGAUAAACUGGAGGAAGGUGGGGAUGACGUCAAGUCAUCAUGGCCCUUACGACCAGGGCUACACACGUGCUACAAUGGCAUAUACAAAGAGAAGCGACCUCGCGAGAGCAAGCGGACCUCAUAAAGUAUGUCGUAGUCCGGAUUGGAGUCUGCAACUCGACUCCAUGAAGUCGGAAUCGCUAGUAAUCGUAGAUCAGAAUGCUACGGUGAAUACGUUCCCGGGCCUUGUACACACCGCCCGUCACACCAUGGGAGUGGGUUGCAAAAGAAGUAGGUAGCUUAACCUUCGGGAGGGCGCUUACCACUUUGUGAUUCAUGACUGGGGUGAAGUCGUAACAAGGUAACCGUAGGGGAACCUGCGGUUGGAUCACCUCCUUACCUUAAAGAA
rnacentral:rRNA from 1 species